GAUUAACGCUGGCGGCGUGCAUAACACAUGCAAGUCGAACGAUGAAACUUUAAUGAACCCUUCGGGGAGAAUUAAAGCGGAUUAGUGGCGAACGGGUGAGUAACGCGUGAGUAACCUGCCUUACACAAGGGGAUAGCCUUUGGAAACGAAGAAUAAUACCCUAUAAAACCAUAAAAGCACAUGCAAUUAUGGUCAAAGUGAUAGCGGUGUAAGAUGGACUUGCGUCUGAUUAGCUAGUUGGUGAGAUAAAAGCCCACCAAGGCAACGAUCAGUAGCCGGCUUGAGAGAGGGGACGGCCACAUUGGGACUGAGACACGGCCCAGACUCCUACGGGAGGCAGCAGUGGGGAAUUUUGCACAAUGGGGGAAACCCUGAUGCAGCGACGCCGCGUGAUUUAGAAGGCCUUCGGGUUGUAAAAAUCUUUUGUAUAGGAAGAAAAUGACAGUACUAUACGAAUAAGGUCCGGCUAAUUACGUG
rnacentral:rRNA from 1 species